UACGAAGGGGGCUAGCGUUGCGCGGAAUCACUGGGCGUAAAGCGCACGUAGGCGGAUUGUUAAGUCGGGGGUGAAAUCCUGGAGCUCAACUCCAGAACUGCCUUCGAUACUGGCGAUCUUGAGUCCGGGAGAGGUGAGUGGAACUCCGAGUGUAGAGGUGAAAUUCGUAGAUAUUCGGAAGAACACCAGUGGCGAAGGCGGCUCACUGGCCCGGUACUGACGCUGAGGCGCGAAAGCGUGGGGAGCAAACAGG
rnacentral:rRNA from 1 species